UUGCACUCUGUCUUGAUGGCUAUGUCAAACUGAGUGGCAUGGUCAUUGAACAACAGUGCAUAAACGAAUAGCUGUUAAAUUAGCAAGCGGCCAGACAACCGUUGGGAUAGAUCCACAGGUGAAGCGGAUUUUUCAUCUGCUUUCAGCUACUAAAUCUAUCCUACAAUC
rfam:Brassica oleracea var. oleracea cultivar TO1000 chromosome C5, whole genome shotgun sequence